rnacentral:rRNA from 1 species
GACGAACGCUGGCGGCGUGCUUAACACAUGCAAGUCGAGCGGUAAGGCCCUUUCGGGGGUACGACGAGCGGCGAACGGGUGAGUAACACGUGGGUGACCUGCCCUUAGCUCUGGGAUAAGCCUGGGAAACUGGGUCUAAUACCGGAUAUGACCUCAUGACUCAUGUUGUGGGGUGGAAAGCCUUGUGCGGCUAGGGAUGGGCCCGCGGUCUAUCAGCUUGUUGGUGGGGUAAUUGCCACCAAGGCGACGACGGGUAGCCGGCCUGAGAGGGCGACCGGCCACACUGGGACUGAGACACGGCCCAGACUCCUACGGGAGGCAGCAGUGGGGAAUCUUGCGCAAUGGGCGAAAGCCUGACGCAGCGACGCCGCGUGAGGGAUGACGGCCUGUGUAACU